rnacentral:rRNA from 1 species
CAUCAACAAUCCUUCGGGGCGUUGAUGGGCGGCGAGCGGCGGACGGGUGAGUAAUGCCUGGGAACAUGCCUUAGUGUGGGGGAUAACCAUUGGAAACGAUGGCUAAUACCGCAUAAUCUCUACGGAGCAAAGAGGGGGACCUUCGGGCCUCUCGCGCUAAGAUUGGCCCAGGUGGGAUUAGCUUGUUGGUGAGGUAAUGGCUCACCAAGGCGACGAUCCCUAGCUGGUCUGAGAGGAUGAUCAGCCACACUGGAACUGAGACACGGUCCAGACUCCUACGGGAGGCAGCAGUGGGGAAUAUUGCACAAUGGGGGAAACCCUGAUGCAGCCAUGCCGCGUGUGUGAAGAAGGCCUUCGGGUUGUAAAGCACUUUCAGUAGGGAGGAAGGUGUUGUCGUUAAUAGCGGCAGCAUUUGACGUUACCUACAGAAGAAGCACCGGCUAACUCCGUGCCAGCAGCCGCGGUAAUACGGAGGGUGCGAGCGUUAAUCGGAAUUACUGGGCGUAAAGCGCAUGCAGGUGGCUUGUUAAGCCAGAUGUGAAAGCCCGGGGCUUAACCUCGGAAUAGCAUUUGGAACUGGCAGGCUAGAGUACUGUAGAGGGGGGUAGAAUUUCAGGUGUAGCGGUGAAAUGCGUAGAGAUCUGAAG